rnacentral:rRNA from 2 species
UUAAGUCGACCGCCUGGGGAGUACGGCCGCAAGGUUAAAACUCAAAUGAAUUGACGGGGGCCCGCACAAGCGGUGGAGCAUGUGGUUUAAUUCGAUGCAACGCGAAGAACCUUACCUGGUCUUGACAUCCACGGAAGUUUUCAGAGAUGAGAAUGUGCCUUCGGGAACCGUGAGACAGGUGCUGCAUGGCUGUCGUCAGCUCGUGUUGUGAAAUGUUGGGUUAAGUCCCGCAACGAGCGCAACCCUUAUCCUUUGUUGCCAGCGGUCCGGCCGGGAACUCAAAGGAGACUGCCAGUGAUAAACUGGAGGAAGGUGGGGAUGACGUCAAGUCAUCAUGGCCCUUACGACCAGGGCUACACACGUGCUACAAUGGCGCAUACAAAGAGAAGCGACCUCGCGAGAGCAAGCGGACCUCAUAAAGUGCGUCGUAGUCCGGAUUGGAGUCUGCAACUCGACUCCAUGAAGUCGGAAUCGCUAGUAAUCGUGGAUCAGAAUGCCACGGUGAAUACGUUCCCGGGCCUUGUACACACCGCCCGUCACACCAUGGGAGUGGGUUGCAAAA